AGAGUUUGAUCAUGGCUCAGGACGAACGCUGGCGGCGUGCUUAACACAUGCAAGUCGAACGAUGAACCACUUCGGUGGGGAUUAGUGGCGAACGGGUGAGUAACACGUGGGCAAUCUGCCCUUCACUCUGGGACAAGCCCUGGAAACGGGGUCUAAUACCGGAUACCACUACCGCAGGCAUCUGUGGUGGUUGAAAGCUCCGGCGGUGAAGGAUGAGCCCGCGGCCCAUCAGCUUGUUGGUGAGGUAAUGGCUCACCAAGGCGACGACGGGUAGCCGGCCUGAGAGGGCGACCGGCCACACUGGGACUGAGACACGGCCCAGACUCCUACGGGAGGCAGCAGUGGGGAAUAUUGCACAAUGGGCGAAAGCCUGAUGCAGCGACGCCGCGUGAGGGAUGACGGCCUUCGGGUUGUAAACCUCUUUCAGCAGGGAAGAAGCGAAAGUGACGGUACCUGCAGAAGAAGCGCCGGCUAACUACGUGCCAGCAGCCGCGGUA
rnacentral:rRNA from 1 species